rnacentral:rRNA from 1 species
GUCUCCCAACGUGCAUACCUUCCAUUUGCAUGUUGUUGUGAGCCACAUGGAAACUCGUACACACGUGGUGGCAGCCGUCUGCUGUGCUUUUUUUAGGCAGACAAUGGCUUACGAGUGGCCGUGUGCUUGUUGAACAACGGUGACCAAUUUGGCGUCUACGCCGUAUCUAGCUUCUGCCUGGACCGUCAGUUGCGAUGAAAGAUGCGGAGAAAGUUCCUUUGUUUUGGCUGCUAAUCAUCAUUGAUGAGCAGUAGCUUAAGGCAGAGUUGAGCAGACUUAAUGAGCCACGCUAGGUGGCCGCCAAAACCCAAAACACAACCGGUCUAUUUGACAUUGUUAUUUCAUUGUAUGUGUUGAAAAUGUACAAAUCUUGGCGGUGGAUCACUCGGUUCGUGGAUCGAUGAAGAACGCAGCCAGCUGCGAUAAAUAGUGCGAAUUGCAGACACAUUGAGCACUAAGAAUUCGAACGCACAUUGCGCUAUCGGGUUCAUUCCCGAUGGCACGUCUGGCUGAGGGUCGAAUUACGGUGAACUGUCUUCACGGUUUUUCUGGACUGUGAAGCAUUCGGCAAGCAAUUGCUGUUGUGUUGUUGGUGAUUCUAUCAUGGACAAUAUGACGAGCGGUUCCUUGCUUAGUGAUGACAAAAGAAGACGUCAACACCGAAUCUACUAUACUACUAAUACUAGUAUAUAGGUGAGGUGCUUUUGGUGGUCACAAAAGUGACAAGUAUGCCAUUUCAUAGGGGCAACAACCAGCAUACGUGAUAAGUUGGCUGGUUGAUGAAACGGCAACGGAAUGACGGACGUCUAUGUGAUCAAAAAUGAUACUAUUUGACCUCAGCUCAGUCGUGAUUACCCGCUGAAUUUAAGCAUAUAAUUAAGCGG